GUGUGUGUGUGUGUGUGUUGGAUUCGCUACAUGCGUUAUUUUGGAGAAAACAGAGUGAGUGUGCAUUUAUUUGCGUGUUAUUUUUUUCUUUGAUUUCUAGAAAAGGGCUGUCAAGUGUGUGUACGUGUGUGUACAGUGUGUGUCUGUUCAGGUGUGCGAGAGGAGACCCUGCAGUCAAUUGCAGUGGAGUCCUUGCUACAUGAAGUGGGGUGGUGUGUUUGUGCGAUUCAAUGUGGCAGGCACAGGAGCGUGUGUGCGUGUGUCAGAUGGUUAAUUAUUUUUUUCAAUAUGGCACGCGUGGGCAUGUGUGUGUUCAUAGGAUUUUGUGUGUGUGUGUGUGUGUGAUUUGGCAGCAGGAACAGCGUGGGUGUGUGUGUGUGAUCUCGCAGUCACUCAUCUCUGAGUAAAUCAAGUGUGUGUAUGUGUGCGAUUGUUGAUAUCUAACAUGGAAGACACAGAGAUAUGUGUGUGUGAGUGUGUGUGUGUGUGUAUCAGACACAGAUAUGUGUAUAUAUGAUUGUGAGAGUGUGUGUGAGAGUACUUGUGAUAAUUGCGCGCUGAAUUGUGUGUGUAAAUUUGAACACAUUACAGCGUACGUGUGAGACGGCUCCCUCUCCUCUUCUGUCUGUGUGUGUCUGUGUGUGCGUGUGUGUGUGUUUGUGCCACACUUGUGUCCUUUUCCUCCUCUUCAUCUGGCUCCUCCUCCUCUUCCUCUUUGCUCCCUUCAUCCCCCGUGUCUCCUCUCUUCUCCAGCCAAACAGGCUCAUUUAAUUAUUCAUCUCUCUCUGUCUCGCAAUGCCUCGUUUCUCUCCAUUUCGUCCUUCCUCCCUCUCUCUCCUCCUCUUCCUCUCCUCCUCUCCCCCUCUUCCUCUCUCCCCCUCUUCCUUCUGGCCAUCUCCUCUCUUUCUCUUUGCAUAUACUUCUGUUUAAAUCCAUCUGUCCGUCCUCCUUCCUCAUCUCUGUCUCUUUGUUUCUCUCCCGUAUGUUUUCAGUCAAAUUGGAUCGUUUUUGUGAAUUCGGGCGUCCGGGCGUCUGGAAGUUACCGACACAUUGAGGACGAGCACGUUGAUGUUAAAAUGCUUGAAUCUCGACUCAAGGUUUAGUUGCCGUCCUUCAGCGUGGACCGUAAGAAGUGGAAGCGUUCACGUGGCGUUGGAAUUUCGGCCGUUGCCAUCUUGUUUUUUAGCAACCGGAAGUGACACGAGAGGGAGGAGCUGAGCAUCAUGGACAACAAGCACAACGCCGUGGUAGAUAUCUGUCAAUCACAAGGGAGUCCCGCCCUAAAGCAC
ensembl:lncRNA